GGAUGUGCGCUGGGGGAUUUGCUUGUGGGCACAGAUGGAGAUGAUGGGGGCCACAUCCCUCAACUCCCCCUCCAGGGCCCACCACCGGCCUCACUCCUCCUGAGCCCACCAAGAGGGCGCCCCCACCCAGCUCUGUCUCUGUGGAUGAACUUGACUUCAGGUUUGGGUCCACAGUCAUUUAUUGAGUGCCUACUGUAUGCCGGGGAUGCAGCAGUGAACACGAGGUCCCUGCCCUCCUGGAACGUCCCUCUAGACAGACAGACAGACAAAAACAAGAUACAAGGCACUGCCAAGUCAGCUUCGAGCUGUGAGGUGUGGCCAAAUCUUUCAACUGCUGAGCCCCACCAGGACCAAGCCGGAGCCCCUCCCCUGCCCCUUUCAAACCCCCCUCCAUCCUCUCCUUCCUCUAGCCCUGACUCACCUCCUUCCUGUUUCUUAAACAUCCCCUUCCCACAUCCCCAGACUGAGCCCUUCCUCUCUGUCCACCCCCGACAGGACACUUCCUUUUCCGUGAUCUUCUUCUCAUCAGUUACCUUACUUAUUUCCCUAUUUCUUAUUGUGGUCCUAGGAGAUACCAGCACCCCCGCCCACCUUGUCUGGUCUUUUCAACACUUCCUAACUCUAAUCUGUCUUAUCUCCACACUACUCCAUAUAUUUCCUGUGUCUUCUAAAACAUUCCACCCCAUCAUUACUUCAGCAUGGCCACACUUCCUUCCUAUACGCUUUACAAAUAUCUCCCUUUCACCACUGCCCACUGAUGCCUUCAACUCCUCUAGAAACACUCCCCUCGGCCAAUUUUUGUGUUACCCCAAUACUCCCUCAUUUACGCUCGGUUUGCAUCUAUAAACGCCUCCUUGACAAAGCUCUUUCUUAAUCCUGCCAUCCCCCAGACCUCCCUCCUGUCGUCAUUCUAUCCCUCCUCCAACUUUUGCCUCUGAAGCUCUAUCUUCCUGCCCAGCCUGGCUCACGAUUCGCAAUCAGUCUCAUCUCUUCCCCUCGGACUGCCUGC